CAAAUUAUCUUUGAAUACCCACUGAAAAACAUAAAGCUUUUCCUCCUCGUUGUGCGCAGCGAGGGUAUAAAGCGAACUUGGUAGCUGACUUUUUGGUGUUCUUGACGCAUUCUUCAAAUCGUCACCUUUUCGGUUUUCCGUCGCGACAAACCGGUCUGCUUUUGUUUUGGGUAGCGAGAUAAGGCAAACGUUUACCGAGCGGUCUAGAUGGGCGCACUCUUAAGACGCUGCCGCAUCUGGGAAAGCGGAGGGAGCAUCGCGAAGCUGGGAAUUUGAAUACCUUGGAAGGAUGUGGUCUUCAAGAGGCAUCCAUGGAGAUCUAUACUGCUGAAAUACUUUUACAGUCCGAAAGAUGUAGAUAUAAACCUUCCUACCCAUCAAUAUUCUACGGAGUGCACCGGACCUGGUAUCCUCUGGAAGUGUGACAUGGGACUCCAAAUUUCCUUGAAAAUUUCAGUUUGUCCGCCAACAGAGCUGAAGUUACUCUUGAGACUGCAGUGAUGAUAAUUGGAUUUUCUGGACACCUGUGCAAGGGCUGCACAUCCAGAGGAUUAUAACAAGGGAUGGCUGCUUGGUUCCUUGUAAGUUUUUCUGGGCAUAUCUGCCAUCCAGGAAUGGGUUUUUGUAAACACUCAACUCAUGACAAGGCGGCACAAGGCAGAGAACGGGAGACAAAAAACGACUGAAAGGACACACAACCGACAGGCGACGUGCGACGACAAGGCGGGUCCAGACAGCCGCGGCUCGUCUGCAGCCCGCCCGAGUGGGUAGGACCGAGGUAUUUACAAGCUGCCGGGGAGAGAGAGCUUCGAGAGAUGGUCAUUACCAACCAGAGGCCCAGGCGGCAGGACCUUCCCAUGGUCACCUCGGUGUGCGAAUAUGUAAUGAGCUGGACGGCUCCAUUUGUUACGGCUGAUUAAUCGCGAACAAUGACCCCAAACAGAACCCAGAGCGGGACUCACAAUAGUAACUGGAGAGCCCCAAGGCUCUGUCUCCAUCAUUUUAGAGGGAUUGAGAGAGAG